CCCUUUGCCGAGCAAGCGGUCAAAUUUCCCCCCUUUCGCCAGCUGAGGAGCAGGCAGUAAGAGGGGUUCGCAGGAAGAUUGAUGCUGACGGUUCCCCCACUGAUAGCUGUGCUUUUAAGCGCAGACGGGAUGCACAGCUUCAUCCUUCUCCUUUUGAGAGAUCUUUCUCAGCUGCCAGUCCAAUCUGCAGCCAAGUUGGGGAUGGCAUGGAUAUGAACUAGAUAUAUCUUUCAUAUAACUGAAAUGACUCAUCCUCGUUUUUUUU
rnacentral:misc_RNA from 1 species